GGGUACCGUAAGAACACGUCCACUAAGUUGCGAAGAGGAAGAAGAUCCGCUUUCUUGCUAGCCGGGCCGUGUCAACGUUCAUGUAUGGACCAGGGCGCUCCACACGGCCACUUGAGAGAGAGGAGCGUCGCCACCAUCGAGGGCUAUGGAGAAGCCGAAACGAUGAGGUUCUUCAUCAUCGUCCUCAUCGUCGUCGCCUCCAUGAUUCUGUUGCUUUUGGGGCUCAUAUUGUUCGGAGUCAUGGAAGUCACCUACUAUGAAUACCCAUCCAAGCCGGCGACGACCAAGUCUCACUGACACCAAAUGGCAAAGGGCAUCGCUGAAAGCCCUGUUUGAUAUAAAAGUAUAUCGCGCGAAA